rnacentral:rRNA from 1 species
AUUGAACGCUGGCGGCAGGCCUAACACAUGCAAGUCGAGCGAGCGGCGGACGGGUGAGUAAUGUCUGGGAAACUGCCUGAUGGAGGGGGAUAACUACUGGAAACGGUAGCUAAUACCGCAUACCAUCAGAUGUGCCCAUAUGGGAUUAGCUGGUAGGUUGGGUAACGGCUAACCUAGGCGACGAUCCCUAGCUGGGCUGAGAGGAUGACCAGCCACACGGGAACUGGGACACGGUCCAGACCCCUACGUGAGGCAGCAGUGGGGAAGAGUGCACAAUGGGCGCAAGCCUGAUGCAGCCAUGCCGCGUGUGGGAAGAAGGCCUUCGGGUUGUAAAGCACUUUCAGCGGGGAGGCGUUACCCGCAGAAGAAGCACCGGCUAACUCCGUGCCAGCAGCCGCGGUAAUAC